rnacentral:rRNA from 1 species
AACGAACGCUGGCGGCAUGCCUAACACAUGCAAGUCGAACGAGAUCUUCGGGUCUAGUGGCGCACGGGUGCGUAACGCGUGGGAAUCUGCCCUUUGGUUCGGAAUAACAGUUGGAAACGACUGCUAACACCGGAUGAUGACGAAAGUCCAAAGAUUUAUCGCCAGAGGAUGAGCCCGCGUAGGAUUAGCUUGUUGGUAGGGUAAAGGCCUACCAAGGCUAUGACGGGUAGGGGGCGUGAGAGCGCGUUCCCCCAGAAUGGGACUGAGACACGGCCCAUACACCUACGGGUGGCAGCAACAGGGAAUCGUACACAAUGGACGAAAGUCUGAUGUCGCAAUGCCGCGUGGAGGAUGAAGGCCUUCGGGUUGUAAACUCCUUUUGCCAAGAAAUACUAAAGAAGGUACUUGGAGAAUAAGCACCUGCAAACUACGUGCCAGCCGCCGCCGUAA